GCACAGCUCAGGGGUAGAGCACCUGCUUUGUAUGCAGAAGGUCCCAGGUUCAAUCCCCACUGGCAGGCA